UACGUAGGGGGCGAGCGGUGUCCGGAAUUACUGGGUGUAAAGGGCGUGCAGGCGGGUUGGCAAGUCAGAUGUGAAAUACCACGGCUCAACUGUGGGGGUGCAUCUGAAACUGCCGAUCUUGAGUGCUGGAGAGGAAAGCGGAAUUCCACGUGUAGCGGUGAAAUGCGUAGAUAUGUGGAGGAACACCAGUGGCGAAGGCGGCUUUCUGGACAGUAACUGACGCUGAGGCGCGAAAGCGUGGGGAGCAAACAGG
rnacentral:rRNA from 1 species